GACGAACGCUGGCGGCGUGCUUAACACAUGCAAGUCGAACGGUAAGGCCCUUCGGGGUACACGAGUGGCGAACGGGUGAGUAACACGUGGGUGAUCUGCCCUGCACUUUGGGAUAAGCCUGGGAAACUGGGUCUAAUACCGGAUAGGACUAUGCGCUUCACGGUGUGUGGUGGAAAGCUUUUGCGGUGUGGGAUGGGCCCGCGGCCUAUCAGCUUGUUGGUGGGGUAAUGGCCUACCAAGGCGACGACGGGUAGCCGGCCUGAGAGGGUGACCGGCCACACUGGGACUGUGAUACGGCCCAGACUCCUACGGGAGGCAGCAGUGGGGAAUAUUGCACAAUGGGCGCAAGCCUGAUGCGGCGACGCCGCGUGAGGGAUGACGGCCUUCGGGUUGUAAAGCUCUGUCUUCAGGGACGAUAAUGACGGUACCUGAGGAGGAAGCCACGGCUAACUACGUGCCAGCCGCCGCUGUAA
rnacentral:rRNA from 1 species